rnacentral:tRNA from 1 species
GGUGCGUUAGUUCAGUUGGUUAGAAUACCUGCCUGUCACGCAGGGGGUCACGGGUUCGAGUCCCGUACGUACCG